UCCUAGGCUACAAACUGUACAGCAUGUUACUGUACUGAGUAUUGUAAGCAAUUGUAACACAACGUUAAGUGUUUAUGUAUCUAAACGUAGAAAGAAAUAGCAUAAACACAAUAUGAAACAUUUAAAUAUUCUACACCUGUGUAGGAGAGCUCCAUUAUAAUCUUCUAAGAUCAUCAUAUAUGCAGUUGUUGAUUGAAACAUCAUUAUGUGGUACAGGACUGUACCUAUGUACAGGCAAGGAGGAAAGAGAUAGAAGGAUUAUUUUAAGAAAUUGGUUCACACCACUGUGGGAGCUGGCAAGUUCAAAAUCGAUCAGGCAAGCAAGCAGGCUGGAGAUCAGGUAGGAAAUGUGGCAGUCUUGAGAUUGAAGGCUGGAAAUGUAGGCAGGAUUUCUAUGUUGCAGUCUCUAGGCAGAGAUCCCUUCUUGUUAGGAAACCUUAGUCUUCACUCUGAAAGUCUUCAACUGAUUUGACAAGGCCCAUCCACAUUAUGGAGGAUAAUCUACUUUACUCACUAUCAACUGAUUAUAAAUAUUAAUCACAUCUACAAAGUACCUUCACAGGAACAUCUAGACUCAUGCUUGACCAAACAACGGGUCACUAUAGUCUAGCCAAGUUGACACAAAAAUUUCACCCUCAAAGCCACAACUCUGCCAGCUCUCAGAAAUCCCCUAUGAUAGACGAAACAAGAAGGCUCUUGGCUUUGAAAAUGCCAAAUUCUUUGGCCGCAUUUCCAGACUCUGGCAAGGGGGAGACGCAUUCUGGGCAAGAGAAUUACCAGUUUGUAAAAUGCUGACAAGAUGCAAACCAGCCAGGAAUGGCCUUCUAACUGGGUGAUUCACACACGCAGGGCAGGGCUACCUGGGCAGCACCUUCUCAGUGCAUUCCUGCACCAAGGCAUAGUCCCCCUGCCCAUGCACCCUGCACCUCCUUGGCAGUGGGAGAAAACCUAACCACAAACGAUGAAAAGGAGCUCUUGUAUCAUUAGGUGGGACUCUUGCGUCACCUGCCACACCUGGCUAGACCUGGACAAAUGGAUUCCAUUGUCAGGUUGUUGUAAAUGUUUUUCCAGCCCCAAGCCAUGCAUCCUUUCUGCUUAGUUGCAUUUUGGUGUCAUGGGAAAGCACUCACAUACCCUCACACACCCCUUCCUUAUGUGGGCCAAGGAGAAGUGCCUGGAAUAGGCUGUGGGAGCCCUGGCCUGGGUGCCUCUCCACAGCCUGGCACUGGCUGAAGCUGUGGCGACACUGCUGAUUUAACGUGGUGACUGAGUCACACUCCAGCCUAAGAAACCACGCCAUCCUUUUAAUAUUGUAUUUUUCCUUUUUAAACAAGGAAUCUGUUGUCUUCUCCAGACAUGGAACAUCUUUCUACUUUGGAGGUUGCUCACACCCUCAUGACUGGAGUCGACUGCAGGCUCAGUGCAGGUUGUUUUAUUUUUCAUUCCCUCAUCGGUGAAUGCUGGAACCACCCACAGAGUCCUUGUGACAGUUCCAUAACAUACUGGAGACAAAGUGCAUGACAUAUAGUGUGUGCUGAACAUCUUCUUCCUUCCCCUUCCCUAUCAUCUAUGUAACAUUCUUGCUGCAAUGUAACGCCCCAUGUAUUGUCCCAUUGGCUGAUAAGACAGCUCCUUGAGAGAAGCACUGAUGGUCCCUGGCUGGAAGAAGCGGAAACUGGGAGUCAGUUUGCCAUCCUCCUGGAUUUGGGAUGGAUGGUAGGAGCACCUGCUUUGUUCCCAAAUUCAUGCAUUAGCUAGCACACUUGUGCCUUUUUGUUUUGCAAUAUCCCACAGAGUAGGCGAAACAGGGGAAAUGGUUGUCAGGGAAUAUAACAACAACUAACCAGGACAGGCGGGCAAGAGAGAGCUCUGGGGUUGCUGUGGGUGAGGCCUGAGCACAAAACAGGGCCACAGAAGAGGCCAGAGAUACAAAGUUCAGGGCCAGGAUUGGAGUGGGUGUUGCAGGGCAGCUGAGAAGAGGAGUUAGGAACUGAGCCAAUGGACAGAGGGGAAAAAGAAAAGGCCACCUUACCCAGGAGGAACUAAUUGUAUGAGAUUCUAUAAACAUGUCACCAGGAGAGAGGAAGAUGGAUGGGAGAGGAGCUGUGUCAGAAGAAAGGCAGCUCCUCCACGCUGGACACUGUGUCUAAGCCACCAUUGUCUCUUGCCUGGAAUAUUACAACAGCCUUUCAACGGUCUGCCUGCCUUCAACCUUGACACAACCUUGGCCUCUACAGAGUAGCCAGAGAGACUGUAAAGACAUGAGGCAGCUGCUCCUCUGCACAAAACCCUGCAGUGGCUCUUCCCCAAGAGAACUCAAAGUCCUCACAGAGGCCUUGCAAUGCUCUCUGGGGUCCUUAUGAUCUGCCCUUCCCGUGUACUCACUCUACUCCAGCCAAACUAGUCACUGGGCUCGCCACAUGCACACAGGCACAUGCCCGCUGUCUGAAGGCCUCUGCCCUGGCCACUCCUCCACCAGAAAUGCUCUUUCCUCAAACAUCCACUGGGUGAACUCCAUUGCCUCCUUCAACCCUGAUCAUAUCCAAUAUUCUCAAUGAAGUCUACCCAGCACAUUGGAUUUCCUACUGCAAAUUUCCCCUGCCCCGCAGUCUCAAUUUCCCUUACCUGCUCUUCUUUCUCUUUUUCAUCCAUACAUAUUUUUAAAAUUUUUGUUUACUUUUUAUCAUCUGUAUUUCAUUACUAGAAUGUAAAAGCCUCACAAAGGCAGGAAUUUUUAUCUGCUUUGUUCUUGACUGUCUCUCAAGAUCUGAGAAUGGUCCCUGGCCGAUAGUGGGUGCUCCAUAAACUUGAUUAAGGAAUGAAUGAAUGAAUGAGCCAAUGAAUAAAAAUAGCCUUGGAAUCAGAUAGAUCCUGGUUGUUUUUGCUUUUGUUUUAUGUAAUUUCAACUUUAUUUUGGAUUCGAGGGGUAUGUGUGUGCAGGUUUGUUACCUGGGUAUAUUGAGUGAUGCUGAGGUUUGGAGUAUUGAGAAUAGGACCCAAUAGAUAGCUUAGAUAGCUUUUAAGUCCUUGUGCCCUCCCUCUCUCCUUUCACUCUCUAAUGGUCCCAGUGUCUAUUGUUGCCACUUUAUUCCCAUUUGUACCCAAUGUUUAGCUCCCACUUAUAAGUGAGAAUAUGUAGUAUUUGGUUUUCUGUUUCUACGUUCAUUCACUUAGGGUAAUGGCCUCCAGCUGCAUCCGUGUUACGGCAAAGGACAUUCUUUCUUUCUUUUUGUUGUUGGGUAGUAUUCCGCGCUGUAGAUAUACCACAUUUUCUUUAUCCAAUCCACUGCUGAUGGGCACCUAGGUUGAUUCCAUGCCUUUGCUAUUGUGAAUAGGGUUCCGAUGAACAUACAAGUGCUUGUGUCUUUUUGUAGACCCUGGUUUAAAUCCCUACUCUCCACUACCUUUGUGUUUCUCCACUUGGGGAGGUAUAUUAAACUUUCCUCAGUGGUGGGAUUGCUACCUGCAGUUUUCUGACAGUCAGCAUGUGUUUUGCUAAAGAUUCCACCUUAAGGAUAGAGUCUGGAGGUGAAAUAGCAUUAGAAGGAGUUAUCAGGGCUUUGUCUUCAGAUUUAACAUCGACAGCAAGUUUGCUGCUACAAAACUGCUGUUUUGUAAAUAGCAAAUUGUUAUUUUCCUUGAAUUUGUGCUAAUAUCUGGCCUCUGGAAAAUCUUUGAUAAAAAGCAGGAAAAGGAGCCCCUGAUACUGGUUUCCUGGGGAAUCCUUCCCCCCGGAAGGAUUAUACUCUCCUUAUACUAUCCAGCCAGAGUCACCUCUUUGGACUGUCGCUGGAAUCCUGCAGACCAAAGAAAGCAAAAGGGUUUAAAAUGGGGGCACAUGGAGAGAGGCUUAAGUAACCUGGGAGGAAUUCUGCAGAAAGAAAGUGACUGUUGUCCUUCCUUCUGAAGCUGCUUUUUGUUGCCCAGUCUGGCUGGAAGCAGCAGGGUCUGAACCUCAGCCAAGGAACAAAGGGCUUUUUUGGCUAAGAGAAGUAUAAUUGUGGUCAUGAUGGGCCAAAACAGGAGGGAAGCAUUUUAUGGGGUAACAGGACCUCCCAAAUGUCAGAAUUGGUGCCUGCAGGAUGUAAUUUAAUUCUGUAAGCAGUUACUAAGCACCUGCUUUGUUCCAGGCAUGCUCACAUGAUUAAGAGACAAUCCCAGGGCCCAGAAAAUUCCCAAAUUACUAGAGGACUCAUUCAUUCCAUUUAUUCAUUUAUUUAUUUAAUAUCUUACUUCUUUGGCCAUAUAAUUCAGUAAUUAAGAACAAAGCCUUGAAAUAAGAGUCAGGUUUAUUCAUUCAUUCAAUAAAGAUUUAUUCAGUGCCUACUUAGGACCCAACACUGCUCACAGCCUUAAGAGAAAAAGGCAGAAAAAAUAUAGAUCCCUACCCUCAAGGACUUUGAUUGGUCGGGGCUUGUGGAGGGAGAGAGACAAGGAACAAUAAGCAUAACAAAUAAAUUGCAUAGUAUGUUAGAAGCUGGCCAGUGCUAUGGGAAAAAGGAAACACAGAGCAGUGCCAGGGGCCCGGGAAUUUCAAAUGCCAUGUUCAAUAAGGCUGUCAAGGUGAACCUCACUGAGAAGCCUACAGGUUAGCAGAGACCAGGAGCAGUGAGAGAGUUGGGCGGGCUUGUGGACGUGGAGUAGGGGAGAGAAAGCAAUGCAGAGACUGGGACAGCUAUAUACAAGGCCCUAAAGACAGGCCAUGCCUGUUCUGUCCAGGGCCAGUGAGGAAGCCCAGGAGGUAGGCAAAGAGUGGGAGGGGAGAGUAGUAAGAGGGUUAAGGCUGGGGCAGAGUAUGCAGGGCCAUAAGGGCCAUGGUAGGAUUUCUGCCUUUAUUGAGUGACAUGAGUAGCCCUGGCAGGGUUUUAAAAGACAAGUGCCAGGAUCUAUCUCAUAUUUUAACAGAAUCACUCUUGCGACUAUGGUGGGAAUAGACCUUAAGUGUAUAAAGCUGGGGGCAGGGAGACCUACUAGAUGGCCGUUGCAGCAAUCCUGGGGAGAGGUGACAGCAGUUCAGGCCAAAAUAGUAAUACCGGAGGUGAUGAGAAGUGGCUGAAUCCUGAAUAUGUUUUGAAAGCUGAAACAAUUUUCUGUGAAUUGACUCGAGGGACUCCAAGAGAAAAGAACGAGUUGGUGAUAAAUUGUAAGGUUAGUGGCCUGAGCCAAUCAGGACUAUUAAAGAGGUCCAUUAAAGUGUGAUCUUGGACAAGUCUCUAAACUUCCAUAUUCUUCUUUGUAAAACGGAGAAUAAUGAUAUCAACAUUAUAGAGCUGUCAUGAGUAGUAAAAGAGAUAAUACAGCAAAUCAUUUGGCUUGUGAAGAGGGCACAUAAUAAAGGUAGAUAACCAACUAAUUAAUCUUAUAGCAUGUUCAAGGCACCAGAACAACACUUUGAGGGAUUUUGACAAAGAUGGAACAUACAUGAGGUGGAAUAGGGGGUGACUGAAAUGAAUAAGGAGACUGCAGUUUUAUUCUCAUGACUACUCCUCACCACUUUAUUACCUUUAGUAAGUCUCUUAGCCUCACUCUACCUCUAUUUCUCAAUAUACAAAACAAGAGGGAAGUUGAUCAACAUCAGGGAUCUGCAAGCAAAUCCACCAUGUGUUUUUGCGAAUAAAGUUUUAUUGCAGCGCAGUCAUGCUCAUUUUUAUAUGUAUUGUCUAUGACAACUCUUAUGCUACAACAGCAUCGUUAAAUAGUUAUGACAGAGACUGUACAGCCUCCAGAGGUUUAAAUUACAUCUGGCCAAGCACAGAAAAAGUUUGCAGGCUCCGGUCUAGAGUGUUGUUUUUCACAUAGUUGUUAGAUACAGACAUGACAUUGCUAGGCAUAGAUGUGCCCAUAGGCAGAGAGCGUGAAAUCUUUUCUUCAGAUGAAGUCUUAGCCAGAAGCCUAAUAUAUAACAGAAUAAGUGUGGCUCUGGCCUGGCUGAUGAGUUGAAGGGGUAGGAGAGAUAUGAACGAUGUCGAUUCUAUCUCAGGCUCUGACCACUCUCACAUCCUGGGUCAACCCUGAGGCACCUUCUCUUCAUCCUUGGGAUGAAACACAGCUUGAAGGACAGGAAUCUUAGAUCAUCUCUAGGGGGCUAUUCCAGGCCUCUACUUAUCAAGGAGACCAUGCCAAAUAAACUGUAUAGAUUGGAUAACACUUAUGUUAAAAGUCUUAAAACUGGUUUUUCAGUUUUGAGAAAUGAACUGAGAAGUUAAUUUUAUACUGGGUAAGGUCAAAAUUCACUUCUUGUUGUGGCAGACAUCUUCAACUUCGUGAGCUAGAGAGGGGUAGCAUUUCCACAUUCCUGGCUUCUCCCUAAUAACCAAUUAGGAUAUUAAGUGUCUGCCUAUUACUUUGUCUUAGUAUAAUGGAACCCCUGAACAAUUUUCAACUUCAAUCGAUUUUGACUUUUCUAAUAAAAUUCUACCAGGAAGAAUCUUCCCUACUCUAACUUCUACUAUUUUUCUUCAGACUCAGAUACCUGUGUGUUAUAGAUUGAAUGUUGUGUCCCCUCGAAAUUCAUAUGUUGAAGCCCUAAUUCCCAAUGUGAUGGUAUUUGGAGAUGGACCCUUUGGGAAGUAAUUAGAGUUAGAUGAUUUCAUGAGGGUGGGGUCUUUAUGUUGGGUUUAGUGUCCUUAUUAGAAGAAUCAGCAGAGAGCUUGCUUCCUUUUCCUCUUUCUCUUUGCCAUGUGAGGACACAGCGAAGAUGGCUGUCUGCACCCCAGGAAGAGAGACUUCACCAAAUCAGCCGUCACCCUGAUUAUGGACUUCCAGCCUCCAGAACGAAUAGAGCUAUCUCUGGGAAGGAGCUGCCCAGCCAGGGACUACACUUCCCUUGCCUUUUUGCAUCAUUGAGGGACCAACUGACUGGUCUUGCACUGGAAUAUGAAUAUAAGUGAUGUAUGUCCAGGUGAUGGUGAUUAAGAUGUGGAUGUUGCUUUUCUACUCUCUUGUUUCCUUUCUACUGGCUGGAGGCAGAGAACUCUGAGAUCUUAGGAAAAUUGCCGAACCCCAAGAUGGGGAGAGUCUGGGUCUCUGAAUCACUAUUUGAAGGGAAGUUGUCUAUGAAGCAAAAACACCCCCAUUAGAUUCUCAACCGAGAAGGAAAUAAACUUUUCUUACAUUAAGCCACCAAAA